rnacentral:rRNA from 1 species
UUGGAUUAAUACCUUAUAGUAUCCUAAGUGAGCAUUCAUUAAGGAUUAAAGAUUUAUUGCUAUAAGAUGGCUAUGCGUUCUAUUAGUUAGUUGGUAAGGUAACGGCUUACCAAGACAUCGAUAGAUAGGGGCCCUGAGAGGGGGAUCCCCCACACUGGUACUGAGACACGGACCAGACUCCUACGGGAGGCAGCAGUGAGGAAUAUUGGACAAUGGAGGCAACUCUGAUCCAGCCAUGCCGCGUGUAGGAAGACUGCCCUAUGGGUUGUAAACUACUUUUAUAGAGGAAGAAACAGUUCCACGUGUGGAACUCUGACGGUACUCUACGAAUAAGGAUCGGCUAACUCCGUGCCAGCAGCCGCGGUAAUACGGAGGAUCCAAGCGUUAUCCGGAAUCAUUGGGUUUAAAGGGUCCGUAGGCGGGUCUGUAAGUCAGUGGUGAAAGUUUUCGGCUCAACCGGAAAAUUGCCAUUGAUACUGCAGGUCUUGAAUCAUUAUGAAGUGGUUAGAAUAAGUAGUGUAGCGGUGAAAUGCAUAGAUAUUACUUAGAAUACCGAUUGCGAAGGCAGAUCACUAAUAAUGUAUUGACGCUAAGGGACGAAAGCGUGGGUAGCGAACAGGAUUAGAUACCCUGGUAGUCCACGCCGUAAACGAUGGUUACUAGCUGUUCGGACUUCGGUCUGAGUGGCUAAGCGAAAGUGAUAAGUAACCCACCUGGGGAGUACGUUCGCAAGAAUGAAACUCAAAGGAAUUGACGGGGGCCCGCACAAGCGGUGGAGCAUGUGGUUUAAUUCGAUGAUACGCGAGGAACCUUACCAGGGCUUAAAUGUAGUAUGACAGGUUUAGAGAUAGACUUUUCU